rnacentral:rRNA from 1 species
AAGCGGAGGAAAAGAAACUAACAAGGAUUCCCCUAGUAACUGCGAGUGAAGCGGGAAAAGCUCAAAUUUAAAAUCUGGUAGUCUUUGGCUGCCCGAGUUGUAAUCUAGAGAAGCGUUAUCCGCGCUGGACCGUGUGUAAGUCUCCUGGAAUGGAGCGUCAUAGAGGGUGAGAAUCCCGUCUUUAACACGGACUACCAGGGCUUUGUGAUGCGCUCUCAAAGAGUCGAGUUGUUUGGGAAUGCAGCUCUAAAUGGGUGGUAAAUUCCAUCUAAAGCUAAAUAUUGGCGAGAGACCGAUAGCGAACAAGUACCGUGAGGGAAAGAUGAAAAGAACUUUGGAAAGAGAGUUAAACAGUACGUGAAAUUGUUGAAAGGGAAACGCUUGAAGUCAGUCGCGUUGGUCAGGGAUCAACCUUGCUUUUGCUUGGUGUACUUCCUGGUUAACGGGUCAGCAUCAAUUUUGACCAGUGGAAAAAGGUCAGGGGAAUGUGGCAUCUUAGGAUGUGUUAUAGCCUCUGGCCAUAUACAUUGGUUGGGAUUGAGGAACUCAGCACGCCGCAAGGCCGGGUUUUAACCACGUUCGUGCUUAGGAUGCUGGCAUAAUGGCUUUAAUCGACCCGUCUUG